AUAUAUUCCGAUAUAUACAAGGUUUUAAACCCCGAAGCUUCGUUCCACCCAACCAAGCCUCGCUCAUCUUAGCAUUUUCAUAAACCACUCUUUUCGACCUCCCGAAGGGCUGCCCAAAUUCGUUCGUGUGCUUAAAAUCGUAUCGAACCUCCGACGAAUUUUUCCGGCGAACUUUCGUGCAUUAAUCGUGUAAGUGGUUUCUUUUAGCUUCAAUUAUCCGAGUCUUAAUCGACCAUUUUCAAAGGGCUUUUUAAACAAAUUUCUCUUCAUCUUAAGCUCUCUUGAUUUCAAAAUACUCGAGUUGGCCACUCGUUAUUAUCGGGAAUUUUGUGCACUAACCUUACUUGCUCACUAACUCAUAAUUUGUGCUCUCAUUCCCAUCACUCCCAUACCCUUCUUGUUUUAGUGAGACACCCA
rnacentral:lncRNA from 1 species